GAUGAACGCUGGCGGCGUGCCUAAUACAUGCAAGUCGAGCGAACAGACGAGGAGCUUGCUCCUCUGACGUUAGCGGCGGACGGGUGAGUAACACGUGGAUAACCUACCUAUAAGACUGGGAUAACUUCGGGAAACCGGAGCUAAUACCGGAUAAUAUAUUGAACCGCAUGGUUCAAUAGUGAAAGACGGUUUUGCUGUCACUUUUAGAUGGAUCCGCGCCGCAUUAGCUAGUUGGUAAGGUAACGGCUUACCAAGGCAACGAUGCGUAGCCGACCUGAGAGGGUGAUCGGCCACACUGGAACUGAGACACGGUCCAGACUCCUACGGGAGGCAGCAGUAGGGAAUCUUCCGCAAUGGGCGAAAGCCUGACGGAGCAACGCCGCGUGAGUGAUGAAGGUCUUCGGAUCGUAAAACUCUGUUAUUAGGGAAGAACAAAUGUGUAAGUAACUAUGCACGUCUUGACGGUACCUAAUCAGAAAGCCACGGCGAACUACGG
rnacentral:rRNA from 1 species